CAUCAGGUAACUGCACUAUGCUUUGAUCUGUCUUUACUGAACUUCCUCUCCGAUAGGGUUGAUGAAGAUUCAGGGGUCCUCUUUAUACAAGCUUGCUGCAAGUGAAUUCAGAAAGUUUCCAGUCUCACCUGUUUUCUAUAGUGCUGAGCUGCAACUGCAAGUACUUCAUAUGCAGACUAACACUGGUAUCAGCAGCUGUGGACAUUUUGGGAUACUGGCCUAGCAGAGAUAGGUGUUACUGAUGGAGGAGAUAAUGUUGCAUGGAAUCGUGAAGGAAAUAAUAUGGUAUGACAGCAGUGUGAUCUGUGACUUAAUUUUGAUGGUAAACUAUCUGCCUUUUUUUAAUAUUCCCAUAAAUUGCAUUUACUAUGUGCUAUAGAAUGUAUUGUCAUAAUCUUGGGUUUUAAUUUAAAAUAUUCAAUGGUUCUGAAUGGGGAAAAAGGGAAUAGUGUAGAUCGCAAGCAAUAAAAGUAGCAAUGUUAUGAGAAAAUGCAGCAUUUAUACAGUAAGAGCAUAGAAAAUCUGCAUGUACUUACAUGAUAUACUAUGAAUUAUAUAGGUUAAGACACUAUACUAUAUAUUACUAUCCUGUACUGUAUAUUAGUAGGUUACUGUGGUUGGUUGGGGUUUUUCCCCUUCCCUAAGUCUCCCAGUUGGAGACUUUAGAAGUAUCACAAGUAGUGAUAAUCUUGCAGAAUUCUCACAGGUACUUUCUUUUACAGUUGAUUCUGCUGCUUUUAUUGACAUUCGGUCGAUUGCCACUGGUGGGGAAAAUCACACAUCCAACUUCAGUCCACAUCUUAGGCAUCUGAUUAUUUUCAAGAAGUGUAGCAUUCUUGAGGUUUAUAUUGUGCUCAGGCAGUGAAGCAUCACCAGAAAUCCACCAAAUCCAUGCUUUGGUGUUAGUGUCUCAAAAUAAUUUCAACAUGGAUUAAUUGUAAAAUGAGGAUGGGUUGCUGGGUGCAUCUUCUCAACUGGCAGUUAGGGUUGUAUGCCAUAAAUAAUUGCAUAUGUUUAAGUCAUAUCAUACUGGAUCCACUCUUUCACAGGCUUUCUGAAGGGGAGCUAUUCCUUCAGUGACAUCAGUAAUGUAAUGUUUCUAUUUAAUAGUCUUUACAUGUUUGAUACAAGCAUAAUAGAGAUGAGUGAAACACAGAAAUCAAUUUCCCUUUCUCCCAUUUUUCACUGCAGAGCUUUAUGGCCUGUACAGGUCUCUCCUAUCUUCCUGUUCUUUGUUCAGAUGAUGGAGGGGCAUCAGCAUAUUAAUCUGUGUUUUAUGUUUGAACCUAAACUUCAGGUUUCUUACAAAUCUGGUCCUCAACUGCCCUUAGAAAUUGAAUUUUCUUCUGAGAAAACACCUGUACUUGUAUGCAUUCUCUUAAAUCUUGCAGCAUGUAGGUACUGUUGAUGUGAAGCUACAUCAGCUGCCUGAGUGUAAGGAAAGUAAAAUAAUUGUUUUUAAACAUCUAGCUAGUUACUACUGAAUUAUUUUGGAUCUGUUACCUGUUGGGUUCAAAUUGGGUUUUCUCAGAUGUUGUUUUAUUUUAGCUGUUAUUUUGCCUUGUAUUAUAGUGAUUGCACAGAACAACAUGAGUUUUUCUGGAAUAACACUAUCAUCAAGUUGUCUCCCUCACUGUUGCAGGGCCUAGGUGUAAGCAACUGUCUCUGGGAGUUGUCCUUCUAGGUAGUUUGAGUACACACAAUGCAAGUUCUCUCUUCUCCAUCAUACGGUUGUGUGUAGCAGAACUUGAAUUGCAUAAAUAGUUAUACAUGUGGAUGAAAUUAGUCAGUUUAUUAAAAAAUCUGUUUGCUGUUGGGUUUCUGGUUUAAUCUUAUAAUUCUACAUAUAUGGCUCUCUUCAGAGAUUGUAAAUGUCACGUGUACGUGUCACUGACAGAACAUUCAGUGGGUGGCUGCGUCCUAGGGCAGGAAAAGAAUAUACAACAGGUGUCUUGCUAAGAUGCUUCCUAACUUUUUGGGUCACAAUGUACAGCAUGUUUACUGGAGCACAUACCCUGUCCAGGUGUUUAUGCUUUGAAGCUGCAAACUUUUCAAAGUUCCUUCUUUGACAGAAAUAAAAUUUCUGUUGAAUUGUUCUUUCGUAUUUGGGGGAAGGGGGAAAACAACAUACCCUUAAGAUGUCACUUAGAUUUGUUUGUAUUCCUGUCUUUCUUGUCUUUGCCAUGAUCUCGUAAUACAUUUCAGGGAUAAUGUUGAAUUUUUAAGCAUUAAGUUUGAAUUUGGUUGUU